rnacentral:rRNA from 1 species
GACGAACGCUGGCGGCGUGCCUAAUACAUGCAAGUCGAGCGAGUCUGCCUUGAAGAUCGGAGUGCUUGCACCCUGUGAAACAAGAUACAGGCUAGCGGCGGACGGGUGAGUAACACGUGGGUAACCUGCCCAAGAGAUCGGGAUAACACCUGGAAACAGAUGCUAAUACCGGAUAACAACAGAUGAUGCCUAUCAACUGUUUAAAAGAUGGUUCUGCUAUCACUCUUGGAUGGACCUGCGGUGCAUUAGCUAGUUGGUAGGGUAACGGCCUACCAAGGCGAUGAUGCAUAGCCGAGUUGAGAGACUGAUCGGCCACAUUGGGACUGAGACACGGCACAAACUCCUACGGGAGGCAGCAGUAGGGAAUCUUCCACAAUGGACGCAAGUCUGAUGGAGCAACGCCGCGUGAGUGAAGAAGGGUUUCGGCUCGUAAAGCUCUGUUGUUGGUGAAGAAGGACAGGGGUAGUAACUGACCUUUGUUUGACGGUAAUCAAUUAGAAAGUCACGGCUAACUACGUG